rnacentral:rRNA from 1 species
CUGGCUCAGGAUGAACGCUAGCUACAGGCUUAACACAUGCAAGUCGAGGGGCAGCAUGAUCAAAGCUUGCUUGAUUGAUGGCGACCGGCGCACGGGUGAGUAACGCGUAUCCAACCUUCCCCCUAGUAGGGCAUAGCCCGGCGAAAGUCGGAUUAAUACCCUAUGUUUUCCAAUGAGGACAUCUGAGCUGGAACAAAGAUUCAUCGCUAGGGGAUGGGGAUGCGUCCGAUUAGCUUGCCGGCGGGGUAACGGCCCACCGGGGCGACGAUCGGUAGGGGUUCUGAGAGGAAGGUCCCCCACACUGGUACUGAGACACGGACCAGACUCCUACGGGAGGCAGCAGUGAGGAAUAUUGGUCAAUGGGCGAGAGCCUGAACCAGCCAAGUAGCGUGCAGGACGACGGCCCUAUGGGUUGUAAACUGCUUUUAUGCGGGGAUAAAGUUCACCACGUGUGGUGUUUUGCAGGUACCGCAUGAAUAAGGACCGGCUAAUUCCGUGCCAGCAGCCGC